UGUUAAAAUUUUCAUUGAUUUUUACUGUUAAAAAUUAGCGUGGCUGACAGAAUAAUUAGACAGUUAUACAUAACGUGCUACAUGUACCUUAUGCAGAUGUACAAAGACCACUUUUUAACAAUAGAAAGGAAUAAAAUUUUUAACA
rfam:Gossypium hirsutum cultivar TM-1 unplaced genomic scaffold scaffold666.1, whole genome shotgun sequence